rnacentral:rRNA from 1 species
AUUGAACGCUGGCGGCAGGCCUAACACAUGCAAGUCGGACGGUAGCACAGAGAGCUUGCUCUCGGGUGACGAGUGGCGGACGGGUGAGUAAUGUCUGGGGAUCUGCCCGAUAGAGGGGGAUAACCACUGGAAACGGUGGCUAAUACCGCAUAACGUCGCAAGACCAAAGAGGGGGACCUUCGGGCCUCUCACUAUCGGAUGAACCCAGAUGGGAUUAGCUAGUAGGCGGGGUAACGGCCCACCUAGGCGACGAUCCCUAGCUGGUCUGAGAGGAUGACCAGCCACACUGGAACUGAGACACGGUCCAGACUCCUACGGGAGGCAGCAGUGGGGAAUAUUGCACAAUGGGCGCAAGCCUGAUGCAGCCAUGCCGCGUGUAUGAAGAAGGCCUUCGGGUUGUAAAGUACUUUCAGCGGGGAGGAAGGCGAUGUGGUUAAUAACCGCGUCGAUUGACGUUACCCGCAGAAGAAGCACCGGCUAACUCCGUGCCAGCAGCCGCCGUAAGAC